rnacentral:rRNA from 1 species
AACGAACGCUGGCGGCAGGCCUAACACAUGCAAGUCGAGCGCACCUUCGGGUGAGCGGCGGACGGGUUAGUAACGCGUGGGAACGUACCCUUUUCUACGGAAUAGCCUUUGGAAACGAAGAGUAAUACCGUAUACGCCCUUUGGGGGAAAGAUUUAUCGGAGAAGGAUCGGCCCGCGUUAGAUUAGAUAGUUGGUGGGGUAACGGCCUACCAAGUCUACGAUCUAUAGCUGGUUUUAGAGGAUGAUCAGCAACACUGGGACUGAGACACGGCCCAGACUCCUACGGGAGGCAGCAGUGGGGAAUCUUAGACAAUGGGCGCAAGCCUGAUCUAGCCAUGCCGCGUGAGUGAUGAAGGCCUUAGGGUCGUAAAGCUCUUUCGCCUGUGAUGAUAAUGACAGUAGCAGGUAAAGAAACCCCGGCUAACUCCGUGCCAGCAGCCGCGGUAAUACGGAGGGGGUUAGCGUUGUUCGGAAUUACUGGGCGUAAAGCGCACGUAGGCGGAUUGGAAAGUUGGGGGUGAAAUCCCGGGGCUCAACCCCGGAACUGCCUCCAAAACUAUCAGUCUAGAGUUCGAGAGAGGUGAGUGGAAUUCCAAGUGUAGAGGUGAAAUUCGUAGAUAUUUGGAGGAACACCAGUGGCGAAGGCGGCUCACUGGCUCGAUACUGACGCUGAGGUGCG